rnacentral:lncRNA from 1 species
AAAAAAAAAAACAUCUGAAACUAUUUAUAAGUUCUUCCAUAAUUUUCACAAAGUCGAAAAAUAACAACUUGAGAUUGUAUAUAGCUAAAAUAGUGUAUGAAAAUCCAAUGAUAGACAUAAAGAAAGUGUUGAAUAAUAUAAUGCCGGAUGUAUUGCUUUUUAAAUGAACAUGAACUAGCUUAUUAGAAUUUUUAUUGUACUUUUAUUUUUAACAUAUCAAAUUCAUAAAACAGUUCUUAAAAAACAAAGACACUAACACAUUGGACACUUCAAAUAUAUAUUUAAUAUUGUGAUGACAGUAAAUUUUUAAUUAAAAAUACUGUAAAUUUUUUUUCUUGGUUCGACAUUAAAACUAAAAAAUCAGUUUAAUACUUGCAAUUUCAUAAUCCGAGGACUGCAAUUACUAAUAUGGUUGUUCUGGCGUGUCUUUGAAUAAAUAAAAAACACCCGAAAGCUUGAUUUGAAAGAACUUCGGUCAGGGAUGAGCAUCAAUCACCACCAUCUGGUCACCGGAAAGGCAUAACCUAACCUUCCAAUACGUGGCAAUUCAUGAAACCUAUCAUGUGAAACUUCUGGAAGAACAAUACGUGGAAAAUUUGGUAUUUAAAUUAAAUUGCUUCGCCUAAAAAGGCAUUAAAUUGAUGCUAAUAUCAAGAAUAUUAUAUUGAAAAACACUAAUUAAUUACCAAAUACCAAAGACAAUGAGAGAGGACCACUUUUCUUCGAAUUAGUGGGAAAGGAUAGAUAGAUAAUUAUGAGCAUGUUUUAAUAAAACGGCACAUAAAAGAGAAGACACGCAGCAUUUACUGACUUGUAGAAUAACGACUUCAGUAGAUUACUACAUCUCCAGCUAAAACAAGGAAACCAUAGCAGCGCAGAUUUUAAACUGAAUGACACUGAACAACAAUUUAAUUGAGUGCUUUAUUUUUCUUUCAGGUGGAAUAGUAAACCAUUGAAGAACUUAUCACCUCAAAAUUGUGUGGCUCAAUUGAGAAUUGCGUGAGGACCUCCUGAGCUUUCUGUCGCCCUUUGAAGCCAUCAUCAUGAUCGUUGAAGCUCAGCAGCACAAGGUCUUUACAAACGUGGAUCGCCUACUGAGGACUACAAAUCCAUCUUCAACGCUACCAUACUAAGGCCAAAUCACUCACACCCAGAGAACCAAACAAGAAGAUCCAAUUGCAAAUCACAAGACUAGGUAAGAGCCACUUAAAUCCAGCCCCAAGGUCUUACAAGGAUAUCAUAGAGGACAAUAAGCUUAAUUAACAUACUUGCUACAAAAUAUGUAAUUGUAAAACGCUAGCAACAAUAGUAAAGCUAUCGAAACAGAAAUUCUGCGCAAGAUCGCAGUAAUGGAUUGACAAGCUAUAUCUAAAUAAACAAAACUCGUGCUCAUGUUUGCUCUGUAAAAUAAUAACAUGAGAUGCGUGCGUUGGAUAAUGAAAUAACUUGGAACGAAUGUUACCUGCAAUAACGGGGUGGUGCAAUGGAAUAAAAGCUUGAGUGCAAGGAAAGCAUACUGUUUAAUAUAGAAUAGAAGGUAAGCCCUGAUAUCAUAAUUUCCAGUGUCUUUGUUUUUUAUGUACUCUGUGAUGUGUGACUGCCAGUUUCAAGUGCUGAAACAUGUUUUAGUAGAAUUCUCUUAAUAGCCCAUAUUACCAAGAUGAAUAUUUGAUGGGAGCAGAUAGUGAUGAACAAUGAGAACCCAGAUUACAAAUUCAUGAUCUUGCUAACGACUGAUUCUACGUGAAGGGGCAUGUGACUACAUGAUUCUAAGUGCAGGAAAAUCGAAUUGAGGAUAUAGGAUAUAAGUAGGAGAAUACCUUCGGGUCACCGUCAUAAAUUGCAAUAUCGUGCCAUGGAUGAAUUGAUUGCUAGCUGGAGUCGGGGCCGCGCUUUAGCCAUGGAUUGUAAGGCAAAGAGAAGAGAAAGCGGGACACAGAGACUAGAGGGGAGAACCCGGGAAAUCCCCGUGCGAUCUCCCCUCCAAACACGAAAAUGAUAAUUUUAUUAAGAUAGUGGUUGACCUGCCAUGCAAGCGCACCUGUCAUGGCAAAGGUCGGAUGACAAAGAUAAUAAACAAGACCUUGGCCUCUUGGCCUUCUGGUCCCGAUAUAUAUCUUAUACAUCAUCCUCAUAAAUAAAUCGAACACCAACACCAGCAUCAUCUCCUUCCUGUCCUUCUCCACCAACAAAUUACACAUAACAUGCUACACCACAGCUCACAUAACCAAUCUUCAGCCAUGUCUACAUCCAGCAACACGUUCAGCGGAUUCUGUAACUGCUUACAACACCACCUGCAGAAAAAAUCUCAAAUCAUCUUCUGCUUUCCGCCAACAACCAAACUUAAAUAUUGCUAAAAUUCCUCAUGAUCGAAGAAAGCAUGGCCGGAAGGGACAGAUCCGCUUAAUAUUUGAGCUAUCGAAACAGAGCCGCGCCACAUCUACAGAACAAAAUUAGAUUUACGCGGAUUAAUGACUUGAUCAAUAACCAAUAGACAGAUAUUCAAUCAGAUCUAGCUUAGGAACGUAAACAAAACACUUAUACAUAC